rnacentral:rRNA from 1 species
UUGAACGCUGGCGGCAGGCCUAACACAUGCAAGUCGAGCGGAUGAAGGGAGCUUGCUCCUGGAUUCAGCGGCGGACGGGUGAGUAAUGCCUAGGAAUCUGCCUGGUAGUGGGGGAUAACGUCCGGAAACGGGCGCUAAUACCGCAUACGUCCUGAGGGAGAAAGUGGGGGAUCUUCGGACCUCACGCUAUCAGAUGAGCCUAGGUCGGAUUAGCUAGUUGGUGGGGUAAAGGCCUACCAAGGCGACGAUCCGUAACUGGUUUGAGAGGAUGAUCAGUCACACUGGAACUGAGACACGGUCCAGACUCCUACGGGAGGCAGCAGUGGGGAAUAUUGGACAAUGGGCGAAAGCCUGAUCCAGCCAUGCCGCGUGUGUGAAGAAGGUCUUCGGAUUGUAAAGCACUUUAAGUUGGGAGGAAGGGCAGUAAGUUAAUACCUUGCUGUCUUGACGUUACCAACAGAAUAAGCACCGGCUAACUUCGUG